AGUGGACAGCAAGUGUAGCUACUCACAAGACAGGUGCACCGAUGCUUAAGCAACAUUUUGGUGCAGGCAUAUUUCAGGGCAGCUAGUGCUCGUCACUGGCAAAUGGCAGAUUUGGGCUAACAGGUGAAAGUCCUUUGAGAUUCUGACAUUUUUAGAGCUACAAUUGUCGAUGGUUGGAGCGACUGCGUGGCUUAAAUUUUAACCCGGUAUGGAAAUAUAAGAUAAACCGGAUAAAAUGUAUUAGUGAUGAACACAAGCUCACUGGACAGCUUGAAAGCAGUUAAAGAUCAUAGGAUGACUAGAUAUACCAGAUGACUACAUGGACACUCGCAGCCAAAAAUAUGGACACACCUUCUCAUUCAGUUCCUCAUGGGUGGUGCACAUUUAUUUUUUGAAAAACUGAAGACCAGCAAACUCUAAAAGGUUACUUAGACUACUGAAGUGACAUAGUUAGACAGCUUUGUCAACUACUCACUCCUAACAUACACAUUAAUAGAGUUCAGCUUCUAAAUGUCAUUACAUGUUAAAAUCAGAGCCAAUGCCAAUAACACUGUCUAGCAUAGCAUUUCUUUCAGAUGGCACAUUAGUUUUUAUGCAAUUUGACAAAAAAAAAAUGUUUUAUGAAACACAAGAUUUAUCCAUGCAAAACUGAUGAUGGGUCAUGUUAUUUGCGAUAGUAAGAGUUUGAACAUCGACGCACAGUUGAUAAACCGGGGAAACUGAAGGCACCACAUUCCACUGAGUGACAUCACAGACUGAAAUAUAUCAUUAAGAGUUGGUUGAAAUCACCUGCCGUGUCAUUAGACUAACUACUCUGUGGCUAGAGGCGAUUCAAACAUGCUGCUAUUUUCAUUUUUAAAAAAGAAACCAGUAUGCCUACAGCUGAUAGUGAAUUAUUAUUAGUAUUAUUAUCAUUUGGGGAUAGGUGACAACUGCUAAGCCAUACUAAUAUUAACCCGUAUUUAGCUACUUUUUUUGUUUUGUUUUGUUUUGUUGUUUUUUUGUGAGGGGGAGUGGCCCUUUUUUUUUUUUUUAGGUUAAAUUAACAAACGACGACACCAUAAAAGUGGUGUCAGGUGUUUUUUUCUUUUUUCUUUUAAUAGGUUCCUUAACAAGACGGCUUAGACUAAAAAACGUGUUUAAAGUGCUCGUAAACGCCUGUGUAUAAACUAGUAGCCUAAAGACACAUUACUCGGCUCCCUCCGCGGCCCUCUCUUCUGCUCAUUCCCAUUAAUUCACCUGUCACGUCAACGCAAAGCGCUUUUCGACGACUUGACAAAAUGUCAGCAACAGGUGUCUGCCGCCGCGGGAGGAGCUCAAAGUGUCUCUAAAUGAAGGCAAACAAGAACUCACCUUGGGACUCCGGAGGAGAUGUGUCGCUGCCAUCCUGGUCCGCCAUUUCUCCUGACGUCAGCUGAGAGGGAUCAGCGACAGGAACCAGAGCGACCUGCUGCGACGAUCCUGAGACCAGGGACCAGGGACCGGGGCCCCUCCCCCGGACAGGUGGGCAAGGACGCGGGCCGGCAUCGAUUCAGUCACGGGAAUUUAACCCUAAAUAUGUAAUACACGUAAUAAUUCUCUGUGUAAAUGAACUUUUAUCACAUUUGAUUUAAUUA